GGACGGCCACCAAGAGUCUUCUGCCUCACGGCUGCGCGCGCAAUUUGUUGGUAAACGGGAAACCCGUGUAUACACGGCUUGGGUUAUCGUGAGUCAAACGAACAACUACGUUCUCACUGGAAACUGUAGCCUACUUAUUUCAAAUUUAACCGAUGACUUUUUCGGUUCUGGCACCCGACAGCACAGCAAGAUGAGACCAUGAUAACCUUUAGCCUCCCAAAUAUAUGACUGUUGGUUUAGCUUCCCAGCUGAGGUGAUGGUUUGUUUUGCCUCCAGUGGACGUAAUGACGUAGGCUGAGAAGAAGGCUUUCACCUGACCUAUACAAAGGCUGCAACAAAGUUAAUGUUUGGAAAGACAGAAGAAGUUGAGCAGACAAAGAGAAGGAGGGAAGGAAGAAUGUACACUUAAAUCUGCACAAAGUCCUUGUGGUGAAAGUGCUGUGGAGAAAUUGCAGGAUUUUUUGGCUCUGCCACCUAACCACG